rnacentral:rRNA from 1 species
AUUGAACGCUGGCGGCAUGCUUUACACAUGCAAGUCGAACGGUAACAGGUUAAGCUGACGAGUGGCGAACGGGUGAGUAAUGCAUCGGAACGUGCCCGGUCGUGGGGGAUAACGCAGCGAAAGUUGCGCUAAUACCGCAUACGAUCUGAGGAUGAAAGCGGGGGACCGUAAGGCCUCGCGCGAUCGGAGCGGCCGAUGUCAGAUUAGGUAGUUGGUGGGGUAAAGGCUCACCAAGCCAACGAUCUGUAGCUGGUCUGAGAGGACGACCAGCCACACUGGGACUGAGACGCGGCCCAGACUCCUACGGGAGGCAGCAGUGGGGAAUUUUGGAAAAUGGGCGAAAGCCUGAUCCAGCAAUGCCGCGUGCAGGAAGAAGGCCUUCGGGUUGUAAACUGCUUUUGUACGGAGCGAAAAGGUCUCCUCUAAUACAGGGGGCUCAUGACGGUACCGUAAGAAUAAGCACCGGCUGACUACGUGCCAGCCGCCGCGGUAA